rnacentral:rRNA from 1 species
UCUGCCCGCUGGCGGCGUGCCUAAUACAUGCAAGUCGAGCGAACAGAUGAGGAGCUUGCUCCUCUGACGUUAGCGGCGGACGGGUGAGUAACACGUGGAUAACCUACCUAUAAGACUGGGAUAACUUCGGGAAACCGGAGCUAAUACCGGAUAAUAUAUUGAACCGCAUGGUUCAAUAGUGAAAGACGGUUUUGCUGUCACUUAUAGAUGGAUCCGCGCCGCAUUAGCUAGUUGGUAAGGUAACGGCUUACCAAGGCGACGAUGCGUAGCCGACCUGAGAGGGUGAUCGGCCACACUGGAACUGAGACACGGUCCAGACUCCUACGGGAGGCAGCAGUAGGGAAUCUUCCGCAAUGGGCGAAAGCCUGACGGAGCAACGCCGCGUGAGUGAUGAAGGUCUUCGGAUCGUAAAACUCUGUUAUUAGGGAAGAACAAAUGUGUAAGUAACUAUGCACGUCUUGACGGUACCUAAUCAGAAAGCCACGGCUAACUACGUG